UUCAAACUGUGGCUACUUGCUGUUGCCUCUAUAAAUCGGCCAGGUCUCUGGGCUGACAGGUCCUGACUUCGACGAUUCGAGCACCACUUGAUGAAGAUAAGAUUGUACAUGACUAAUAGGAUAGCUGCUGUCCCAAUUAUUAUAAGGCCAUAGAAUGGAAUUGGCAGGUUGGCUUUGUGAGAAGCAGGUGGCGGCUGAAUAUAAGGGCUUGAAAGAUCACCCAUAUCGAUUAUUUUCUUGAUUGCAUAAAAAUGGGUAAUUAGGCAAUUUUAGAAUGGAAUUGAGAAGUAAUAUACUAAAGGGGGAAAAUAUUGCAUAGGAGUAUU
rnacentral:misc_RNA from 1 species